GACGGAGGGGGCAAGCGUUGUCCGGACUCACUGGGCGUAAAGCGUGCGUAGGUGGUGCGAUGCGUCGGCGCUGAAAGCGCCCGGCUUAACCGGGCGACUGGCGUCGAUACGAUCGCACUGGAGGCAGGGAGACGUUGGUGGAAUUCCGGGUGUAGUGGUGAAAUGCGUAGAGAUCCGGAGGAAUGCCGGUGGCGUAAGCGGCCAACGAGUCCUGACCUGACACUGAGGCACGAAAGCGUGGGGAGCAAAUCGG
rnacentral:rRNA from 1 species